rnacentral:lncRNA from 1 species
CACAGGUGAGAGAGUUUGAGUGCACAGGUGUGCGUGCGUGUGAGCGUGCGUGCUUGCGUGCGUGCGAGAAGGUCAGAGUGCGCCGCGUGUCCGUAAGUGAAAGUGCGCGUUUUUGUGUUCAGAUGGAGGACGCCCCCAGCUCCCAGAAGAGCGGGCGACUUUCUUCCUCUCACGACUUGGGGAGAGGAGGAGGAGGACCGUUUCCGACGUGGACAGGUUUCGACGUCUUAGGGGUCCAGGUAAAGGCGAUUCAAUUAUGGGAUAUGAGGCUGGUCAGGAAGCAUGAGAGCCUGCACCAUCCUGCAGGCCACAGAGACCUUCGGUGGACAGUUCUGAAUGGGAUAAAGCCUGCAGGCCAGUACUCCCAUGAGAGCUCUUCUCCCACAGAGACUGUCGUAUUGGACACAGAAGCAAUAUCCAGCCUAAGGCUGCCAGCAAACAUCACACUGAAGCAUAAAAAGGUAGAAGGCAAGAAGAUGGGGAAAUCCUGUCACAUUAGUACUCAGUGUGAGGGUGCUCACCCCAGACUGUGUGGACUUUGAGACACCAGGUGUCAUUGGGGAUAAAGAGGGUCACUCCAAGAAGACACAAUGGAGAAAGUGAAGCUCUCUCUGCUCGGCUGACCCCUCACUCCUAUGAGGGCAAGUCAGUCACAGCAUGUGACCUGGCUUUGCAAAGAAAAAGGCAUUUCCCUAAGGUUAUGGGGUUGUGUUUGAGAUCAGCCCAAGACAGCCUGGCUCCUAGAAAAGAACCUGACCAGCCCUGUCUUCCUAGAGUGGGGCCACCUCGCAACAACCCUGGGCAGCCCUAUGAGUGGCUGCAGAGCACAGCUUGACUCUUCAUAGGAACCACCCAAACCAUCUUCAUCUCUAUGAAUCAUCCUCACAGAGACUGAGUAUUGAGGCGAAAAGAAACCCAGGUGCAUUGAAAGACUGGCUUGAAGGCUGACGUUACUUAGGAUGAGACUCAGAGUUUCCAUCAUGGCUCAGCAGAAAUGAAUUUGAUGAGCAUCCAUGAGGACGCAGGUUUGAUCCCUGGCCUCCCUCAGUGGGUUAAGGAUCUGGCGUUGCUGUGGCUGCAGUGUAGGCCGGUGGCUGCAGCUCUAAUUCAACCCUAGCCUGGGAACCUCCAUAUGUCACAGCUGCAGCCCUAAAAAAGACAAAAAAUAAAAAAAUAAAAACAGGAUGAGAGUAGGUUAAAAAGUGAGUUGAUUUACAGGAAGUGGUAACAAAACUAUGGUGGGAAGUCCCUGGUGGCUCAUCAGGUUACGGAUCUGCCAUUGCCACCGGUGUGUCUCAGGUCCCUGCUGUGGAGCAAGUUUGAUCCCUGAUCUGGGAACUUCUACAUGCCAUGGGUAUGGCCAAAAAACAAAACAAACAAACAAAAAAAACCAACUAAAUUGAUAUUUGGACAAGGCAUAAUUGGAGAAAGAGGGGCUGACCCCUGAUGUCCGGUAUGGGGCAGCGACCAGCACCUGGCUGGUCCUGGCAUCCAAGGCCUGUGGGUCCCCACUCCUUUUCCUUAGAGGCCUUGUCUGGAGGACAGACGAUGGAUGUGCUGGUCUCUGAGGCCUGGGGACUAAGGGUCCUCAGUGCCUGAUGCUCUCCAUCCCUCUAAAGGGAGGGUGGCUCAGGGUUUCUGGACUCU